rnacentral:lncRNA from 1 species
AAAAACAAUAAUAAUGAAAUAUCACAUUUACAUACAGUACCAGUCAAAAGUUUGGACACACCUACUCAUUCAAAGAUUCUUCAAAGUGGCCACCCUUUGCCUUGAUGAUAGUGUAGCUUUGCACACUCUUGGCAUUCUCUCAACCAGCUUCAUGAAGUAGUCACCUGGAAGGCAUUUCAAUUAACAGGUGGACUCUAAUCAAGUUGUAGAAACAUCUCAAGGAUCAUCAAUGGAAACCGGAUGCACCUGAGCUCAAUUUCGAGUCUCAUAGCAAAGGAUAUUUUUGUAAAUAAGGUAUUUGUGUUUUUAUUUUAUUUUUAAUUUCCACAAAUUAUAAAAACAUAUUUUCGCUUUGUUAUUUUAGGGUAUUGUGUGUAGAUUGUUGAGGAAAAAAGUUAUUUCACACUUUUUAGAAUAAGGCUGUAAUGUAACAAAAUGUGGAAAAAUGGAUCUGAAUACUUUCCGAAUGCACUGUUUUAUUCCCUUCUUCUUUGUUGGGUGCUCUGAAGCACCUCUCACUCACAUGGCUCUCUCAGAUAUUUCAAUUCUUAUUAGGCAAUGCGUCACGUGAUCGGGUCCUUCUCACAGGCUACAAGUGAAGACAGACACAUCGGGGACGCAACUGUGCUCGUCCUUAUUGAAUUAUGAGGCACAUAUUGAAGAUGUUUGGAAGAACUGUCCACAUUUACUUUUCAUCAGCCAACAAGAUGAGUAGGCCUAGCGAAUAGCAAAACCGCUAGCCUAUGUCAGUCUACUAUCCUCCAUAGUACAAAGGUCGACCUAUUCUAUUCUGUGUGAGAAAUAAAUAUUCCAAACAUAGUCUGGGACAGUUGUGGGAUGCGAUAGAUCCCAAAUUAUUACAAUCACUGGCAUAAAAAAAAAAACUUUUAAUAGCAAUGAGGCUGAUGCUACAGAUCAAAAUGUUUAGCUUAAAGUGUUGAUAAACUAUUAGUCUAUUUCUUCACAUUAUAAGCACAGCAAUGCACACAUGGCAGUAGGCGGUAAGCGCAAAUGUUCCAAAAUGCAAUCAAUUAGCGCGAAAACACCAUUCUCAAAGGUGAACGCAAAAUGUGAUUAUUCAUGUUAUGCUUUUAUUAUAAAGGUACAUUUCUAUGGUGAAAAUGAUCUUCCCCAAACUUCAAACUCAGGCACUGCGUAUGUAUGCCAGUUGUAAAGUGUAUUAAUGUGCUUCAUUUUAAGAAGUCAUUUGGCCACUUUACAAACCUUAUCCCAACACAUACGCCUAUGGGCUAGGCUGCAUGAGGGGUUCGUCUUUGAUUUGAAAUAGUCACAAAAAAAGGCCUUACUGCACACAAGCUGGGCAUCAUUCACAAGUGAUAUAUAUCAUUCACAAGUGAUAGGUUAAUAUUUUCACCCAUCAGACUAUUUUUGAGUUAAUCUUGUCUUUACAUACUGUCACGCCCUGACCUGAGAGAGCCUUUUUAUGUCUCUAUUUAGGUUUGGUCAGGGUGUGAUUUGGGUGGGCAUUCUAUGUCCUUUUUUCUGUUUUUGUAUUUCUUUGUUUUGGCCUGGUAUGGCUCUCAAUCAGGGACAGCUGUACUUCGUUGUCGCUGAUUGGGAGCCAUACUUAGGCAGCCUGUUUUCCUUUGGGUUUUUGUGGGUAGUUGUUUCUGCUGUGUGGUUUGCACCUGACAGAACUGUUGGCGUUCGUUUGUUUCUUAUGCUCAAGUGUUUUGUAUUAUUAAAAUUCAAUAUGAACACUCACCACGCUGCAUCUUGGUCCCCUCUUUCAGAUGAUCGUUAUACAUAUACUAAAUAAUGUAUGUGUGAAAUUUGUUUUGAAUUAGAAUGGACCAUUGUCAAGCACCUGUCUCGAAACAAGGGCAGAGGGAAAAAAUCCAUGUAAUCUAUGCACUGAAAUAGUGAUUGGAGGACACUUUUUCCAUGGUUAAUUUUCAUGCCAGCCAGUUAGGCUAUACUCCUAUUGUAAAGAAUAGCAAUGUGCUUAAUUGUAGGAAAGUUGAUAAAUAAAUAUAGUAGGCCUAGCCUAUAGAAAGCUAAUGGGAUCCUCCUCUUUUUAAUAAAGGCCAUCAAAACUCUGUUUUCUCACGCAAUUGCAGAGCCUAUAAAAAUGUUGCGCAAUAUAAGCUCAUGGACUCUCAUUAACCCUUGUGCUUUGCUGAAAAAAAAAGAUGUCCAUUGUGGAAUGGGUCAGAUUGACACAGUAUAAACACAGCACAGUAUAAACACUCUAGACAGUCAAAUAAUCAAGUAAAAACAGACAAAACUUUAUUUUGUCUUGUCAGACAUUUCAGAAAGAAGAAAUAAAAGAACACUUUAUUUAAGAACUAUUUGUUUAACAUAUUUCCUUUCUCACAAACAAGCAUUUUCUGUUUGGAGCUCAUUUUCGAGUGUCUGUGUCAGAGAUCUGCUGCUCUCGCACUGAGAAGGAGCAGCUUGGGAAAGGUCCUUUUCACCCAAACAUAAUUAUAAAAGUGCAUCCAGAACCAGUCAGAACAAAAUACAUCAAAGACACUUGUUUAAUUUGGACCCGUGCAAAUAUCUAUACACAUGAAAGCCUGACCUUCCAGCAUCAUGUUUGUAUACAAAAUCUACACAGACAUCCCACAACACAUCAGUGUCCACAUUUUGAAGUUAGGUUCAUGACCCUAAAUGAGGAAAGUCAUUUAAUUUCAUGGAGAAAAAGAGAGGUUAGCUGAUAUUUUAGAUAACUCAAAAGUAGAAAUGGGUCAAAUUGUCCCGCAACGUAAUAGGAGGGUUAGGGGUUUGAGUCGAUUUUCGAUUACAUUUUCAUCAAUGUCAGAGUUAUAACAGGUACAAUAGAGUGCCGAGUACCAGCCUGUUAGCAAGUUUGGUAUGCUACUAAUGACCAUAUCUUGGAGAAGCCUAAUUACCAUGACUAAACAGUCACGUUGAAUUUGACUGCCGUCCUGUCUCAAGACUGCCGGUGUGGCAGUAAAACGGUCACCAUAACAGCCCUACCCUGAGGCGUCCGGCAAGGUGAGCAUCGACUACCUCAGGCAAUGCACACAGGAAAUGCUACACAAGACUAGACAACCAUUAGCACGUUUGUUGUCAUGAAUCUUGCCCUGGAUGCAGAACUGAGCGAUUUUUGCUAGAUGGCCCAGCUGCAAAGUCAAAAUUGCCUAUAAAAUUCACGAAAACAAAAAUGUAAGAUUAGGGUUAGGCUUACAAUCAGAUUUUAUGACUUUGUGACUCUGCCAGCUAGUGACCACUCUGCAGAGUUACCUGCAGGGCAAUUUUCAUGACAAUAAAUGCCAACCUGCCAAACAUUACACCUGCAACUGUAAAUCUAAAUCUAAUCUAUUUCUCUCCAUUAAUGAGAUUUCUGCCCAGCUACACCUUGAGUUACAUGGAAUCCCUUCUGGUAAAACUACCUUUAUCCUUCAACAAGAUCAAUGAUGUGACCGCUGAGGACCGGUUUAUCCGAUGUGCCGGGGAUAUUUGUAAACCUGUAAUUGACAGUCGUUUAAUUGCCCUCGGAAUGCUCACAACACCCAGACAGUCACCUGGGAAUGGCAGAAAGGCAGGAAGGAGGAGGAUGAAAAAGGCAGGCUGCCAUUAAGACAUUAACCAUGAAUGUAAGACAAACCUGAGCAUAUGUCUAUUUUAUCUCCUGGCCCCUGAGAACAAUUUGCUGAAGCAUUUCGGCGGGUGGUAGAGACCAGAAAAUCCCCCAAAAGCCCCCUGGAGUAUGGGCCGUAGGCUGUCUCAGCAUGAACACGCCUCGCAGCAGUCCAUUUUCUGCUUCCAGCGGCAAAGUUGGGCUCCCUAUCCCCACCACCACAGCAUUAGAUCCAUGGAUUAAGUAAAUAUUUAAGGGCUUUAUUGGCAUGGGAAACAUAUGUUAACAUAGCCAAAUCAAGUGAAAUAGAUAAUAAACAAAAGUGAAAUAAACAAUAAAAAAUGAACAGUAAAUAUUACACUCACAGAAGUUCCAAAAGAAUAAAGACAUUUCAAAUGUCAUGUUAUGGUUAUAUACAGUGUUGUAACGAUGUCAUAACGAUUCAUCCGACAGCAAGCUCACUAUAUGACCCACAUGUUACUGGGCUCAUUCCAUAGUCAAUUAAGCAUACUAUAUAUAUUCUAACAUUGUUUAAUUUCCUUUUUCCCUUAGAUAUUAUGAAAUGUUUAAACCACA